GUUUACAUCUGAGAGAAAAGGGAGCAAAAGAGUUAAAGUUGUUUUUUUCUGAUAAGUUGAAUCACACAAAAAAACGACUUUUCUGUUGGGUGAAUUUGAGACUUUUUGGAAAGAGAAAGAAAGAAGUAUCAAUUUAACCUAAAUUCUCUGCUGUUCAAAAGACAAUAUUCGUCAUAAUCAACCAAGUGAAGCUAAAGAUGAAGGUACUUCAGUAGUCAGGAAGCAGGAAGAGUGUACGCCUGUUGAGUCACAAAGUUUACUAUCACACUUUUUUUAAGCUCUUGUCAGCAGCUAUCUAUUUUCAGCCUGAGCUUUUACAGGAAAUAUUCUAGUUUCGUCUGUUUUGCUCAGUUCCAUGAUUUCAAUAAAGGGAACUUCGACAAAGCUAGCGAACGGUGCUUAUGAUAAGCUACAUGAUUUCGCUCACGACGCAGACCUUGACCCACAACACUGAAGCAGCACUUCAAGACCAUGUCUACCAAUGGCACAAACGGAACAGUCGGUGGCAGUUCCUCCAACUCUUCUACAAAUCUAGGAGUCGGGCUUGGGGUCUUCUUUUUGCUGCUUGCGAUCAUAGUUGGUGUGAUCAUUUAUAAAUUCUACGGUAUAAUCGCCAAUGUGAUGCCGUUUAGACAAAGAACAGUGCAAGAAAAGGAGGAUCACUCAGAGACCCCACAAGCAGAUCCCCAUGAAUAUACUGGUAUGAUUCGAGAGCAGUCAAUAGGACAAUCUCCUAUCUAUGAAAACCUGAAAACUCAAACUGGUGGCUACAACAUGGCAGCUUCAAACCAAAGCAGGUUCCCAGUCGAACCCGAUGACGACGUGUACCUGCAGUGCGACGUCAUAGAUGAGGGAAUAUACAGCAAUGACCUCAUUCUCACAGACUGUCAAGAAGAAGACGUGUACGUUGUGCCAGAUUAAUCACGGGACACAUUUGUAGAAAGGCCUGCGUAUUUUGCUCCAGUUGUUGUAUGCAGCAAGCUGUCUCGUUUGAUUUCUGUCUCUGUUUUUGUAUAACGAUAUACAGCUAAAAGUCAGCGUACUGCUACUGCUGCUUUUUGAUACAGACUGACUGUAAACAGAACUUACUGGAUGGUAGCAACAUGUCAGUGUUAUCUGUUAUCUCCCAUUUUGGAGGAGAGUAACAGAACUUUUUUUUUUUAUUAUUUAAUCCACUCCCUCCUGGUACGAUUAUCUAUGUUACACAUCUUUGAUUGCUACUAUUAUUGGCACAUCUCAUAUUACAACCAUGCUGGAAAACACUGUACAAAUUUUGACAGCAGUCCAAGGUAAUCAACUUUGUGAUUAGAUUAGAUUGGUUUAUGGCGUUCUCUUGUAGUUACAGAUGAGGCUUUACUUUGACCUUUGGAGAGAAGUGUGGGCAGUCUAUCUGAGUCAUGUGUGUUCAGUAUUGUCCUUUUUCUCUCACUGGAGAUUCUUCACUUGGUCCUAAAUCAAAUCUAGAAACAUUUAACUUGUGUUAUGUUCUCAGUAUUUUGCUAAGCCAUGAGUCAGAUGGCUACAGAUACAGCAACCGGACCCUUGAAAUUCCCCUUUCUGUGCAAAAAAGUGUAACUGCACACUGAAUCCUUCAAAUAUCUUCAUAUGAGAAAAAAAGAAGUGCAGUUUCAACAGUUUUUCAUCAGUUUUUCUGCCGGAGUAACAAAAAAAUAAUACUAACGUGAAGAAAUAAACGUGUAAAAUUACUGAAAAUGUUCGGGCAGAUUAUUGCAAAGACUGUCCUGCAAUAAUAAAGCAAAGUCAUUUUAUUUUUUA